GACGAACCGUGCAAACGUUAUUCGGAAUCACUGGGCAUAAAGGGCGCGUAGGCGGCUCCAAAAGUCAGGGGUGAAAUCCGGCAGCUUAACUGUCGCAGUGCCUUUGAUACUGUGGAGCUAGAGGGAGGUAGGGGUCUGUGGAACUUCCGGUGGAGCGGUGAAAUGCGUUGAUAUCGGAAGGAACGCCGGUGGCGAAGGCGGCCCCCUGGUUGGAUACUGACGCUGAGACGCGAAAGCGUGGGGAGCAAACAGG
rnacentral:rRNA from 1 species